UACGGGGGGUGCGAGCGUUGCUCCGGAAUCACUGGGCGUAAAGGGCGCGUAGGUGGCGUGAUAAGGGUGUGGUGAAAGCCCGGGGCUCAACCCCGGGUCUGCCCAUGCCGACUGUCAGGCUGGAGUACUGUAGGGGCAGGCGGAAUUCCGGGUGUAGCGGUGGAAUGCGUAGAGAUCCGGAGGAAGACCGGUGGCGAAGGCGGCCUGCUGGGCAGUUCUGACACUGAUGCGCGACACGUGGGGAGCAAACAGG
rnacentral:rRNA from 1 species